rnacentral:rRNA from 1 species
GACGAACGCUGGCGGCGUGCUUAACACAUGCAAGUCGAACGCGCCUGUCCUCUGGGUUUCUGGGGGGUGGGUGAGUGGCGAACGGGUGAGUAACACGUGAGUAACCUGCCCCCUUCUUCGGGAUAACGGUCUGAAAGGGCUGCUAAUACCGGGUAUUCACUGGUCUCCGCAUGGGGUCUGGUGGAAAGGUUUUUUUCUGGUGGGGGAUGGGCUCGCGGCCUAUCAGCUUGUUGGUGGGGUGAUGGCCCACCAAGGCUUUGACGGGUAGCCGGCCUGAGAGGGUGACCGGUCACAUUGGGACUGAGAUACGGCCCAGACUCCUACGGGAGGCAGCAGUGGGGAAUAUUGCACAAUGGGCGCAAGCCUGAUGCAGCGACGCCGCGUGAGGGAUGGAGGCCUUCGGGUUGUGAACCUCUUUCGCCCGUGGUCAAGCCGCGACGUGGGUCGUGGUGAGGGUAGUGGGUAAAGAAGCGCCGGCUAACCACGUG